UAUCUCUGUAGAGUCUGCAUAUCAAUAAGCGGAGGAAAAGAAACUAACAUAGGAUUCCCUUAGUAACGGCGAGUGAAGCGGGAAGAGCUCAAAUUUGAAAUCUUCAAGGUUUUACCUUGACGAAUUGUAGUUUAAAGAAGUGUUUUCUGUUGAAGUGUUUUGGUAAAAGUUCUUUGGAAUAGGACAUCAUAGAGGGUGAGAAUCCCGUAUUUGACCAGUUACUUUCCAGCUGUUGUGAUACACUUUCAAAGAGUCGGAUUGUUUGGGAAUGCAGUCCAAAAUGGGUGGUAAAUUUCAUCUAAAGCUAAAUACUGGCGAGAGACCGAUAGCGAACAAGUACCGUGAGGGAAAGAUGAAAAGAACUUUGAAAAGAGAGUUAAACAGUACGUGAAAUUGUCAAAAGGGAAGCGUUUGACACCAGUGUUGUUUUCUCGAAAAUCAAUUAAAAAAGGCAGGAUUUUGUGUUGUAUUGACUUUAUCAGCUUUCUGCACUCUUUUCUUGUCUUUUUUUAAUGCACUUUUCGUUUAACAAGUCAACAUCAAUUUCUUUUGUUGUAAAAGGGUCAUUGGAAGGUGGCUUUCUUUUCGGAGAAAGUGUUUAUAGCCUUUGGCCUCUGCAAUCGGAGAGAUUGAGGUCUGCAGCGUAGAUCCUUCUGGGAUUAGAUACAUUUGUGCUAAGUUAUAACCGUUUCAUAGACAACUUGUUGACUAUGAUCAGAUCAUGUAGCUUACUCGCUUAUGCUAAUUUUACCUACGCUUAGGAUGUUGAAGAUGUAGCACAUCAU
rnacentral:rRNA from 1 species